rnacentral:rRNA from 1 species
UACGGAGGGUGCGAGCGUUGUCCGGAAUCAUUGGGCGUAAAGGGCGCGUAGGUGGCCCGGUCAGUCUUUGGUGAAAGCGCGGGGCUCAACCCUGCGUCGGCCAGGGAUACUGCCGCGGCUCGAGCACUGUAGAGGCAGGCGGAAUUCCGGGUGUAGCGGUGGAAUGCGUAGAGAUCCGGAGGAACACCGGUGGCGAAGGCGGCCUGCUGGGCAGUUUUGCUGACACUGAGGCGCGACAGCGUGGGGAGCAAACAGG